CCUGGUUGAUCCUGCCAGUAGUCAUAUGCUUGUCUCAAAGACUAAGCCAUGCAUGUGUUAGUAUGAACUGAAUUUAUAUAGUGAAACUGCGAAUGGCUCAUUAAAUCAGUUAUAGUUUAUUUGAUAGAUACGCGUUCAGCACUACAUGGAAUAACUGUAGUAACAUAGAGCUAAUACAUGCAUAAGAAUCUGACCUUACGGAAGGAUUUGCACUUAUUAGAUAACAAACCAAUAUCCUUCACGGGAUUUUAUUGGCGAAUCACAAUAACUGAACAAAUCGCAUAGUCUUGUACUGGCGAUGUAUCAAUCAAGUUUCUGCCCUAUCAACUUGAUGUUAGUGUAUUGUACUAACAUGGUUUUUACGGGUAACAGAGGAUUAGGGUUCGAUCCUGGAGAAGGAGCAUGAGAAAUGGCUACUAUUUCUAAGGAAAGCAGCAGGCGCGUAAAUUAUUCAAUGGGAAUAUCUUCCCGAAAUAGUGACAAAAAAUACCGAUGUAUUGAACUUCGUUCAGUACAAUUGGAAUGGAAACAAUCCAAACCCCUUAUUGAGUAACAAUUAGAGGGCAAGUCUGGUGCCAGCAGCCGCGGUAAUUCCAGCUCUAAUAGCGUAUAUUAAUACUGUUGCAGUUAAAACGCUCGUAGUUGAACUUAGAAUUAUUACAAGUUAUUUUACUUGAUUGUAAAGUGCUUGCUUAAUUCUUAUCUACUAGAUACUCUAUUCUGUACUUAAUUGUAUGGGAUAUCACCUAGCCAGUGGAAUUUUAGUUCAAUAAUGCCUUUUUUGGUACUAGAGGGUAAUAUCUCAAAAUAUCUUCAAGGGAUCACGUUAUUGGAUUGAAGUGGGGUACUAGUUAAUUUACUUUGAGUAAAUUAGAGUGUUCAAAGCAGCCUCUUGGGGCUUUGAAUAGAUUUAGCAUGGGAUAAUAGAAUAGGAUUUGAUAACCUAUUUGUUGGUUUGAGUUAAUCAAAUAAUGAUUAAUAGGGACAGUUGGGGGCAUUCAUAUUAAAUGGUUAGCGGUGAAAUGUGUGGACCCAUUUAAGAUGAACUAAAGCGAAAGCAUUUGCCAAGGAUGUUUUCAUUAAUCAAGAACGAAAGUUAGGGGAUCGAAGACGAUUAGAUACCGUCGUAGUCUUAACUAUAAACUAUGCCGACCAGGGAUAUGAGUAGUAUAUUUCAAUAAUUUUCGGAUUAUUGAUACUUCUCCUUAUGCACCUUGUGAGAAAUCAUAAGUUUUUGGGUUCUGGGGGAAGUAUGGUCGCAAGGCUGAAACUUAAAGGAAUUGACGGAAGGGCACCACCAGGAG
rnacentral:rRNA from 1 species